GGGGCUGUAGUUCAGGGGGAGAAUGCUUGUCUGGCAGACAAGAGGUCGAGGGUUCGAAUCCCUCCAGCUCCACCA
rnacentral:tRNA from 1 species